rfam:Glossina fuscipes fuscipes unplaced genomic scaffold Scaffold287, whole genome shotgun sequence.
AGGUCCCACCAUCAGGAGCGUGCUAGCGACAACCAGCCCCCGCGAAGUAAUACCUAACGGUGGUCCCGCGGGGGAGAGGGGUAGACGAAGGGUGUGGGGGGUAGUUUUUAGUACGUAUGCGCCAGGGAUGGCGAAUCGUGCAUGAUGCUAUUAAGACCCAGCAGUAGCUUUCGAAGAUUUUCUACCUCCAGCUCAC